rnacentral:rRNA from 1 species
AGUGAACGCUGGCGGUAGGCCUAACACAUGCAAGUCGAACGGCAGCACAGUAAGAGCUUGCUCUUACGGGUGGCGAGUGGCGGACGGGUGAGGAAUACAUCGGAAUCUACUUUUUCGUGGGGGAUAACGUAGGGAAACUUACGCUAAUACCGCAUACGACCUACGGGUGAAAGCAGGGGAUCUUCGGACCUUGCGCGAUUGAAUGAGCCGAUGUCGGAUUAGCUAGUUGGCGGGGUAAAGGCCCACCAAGGCGACGAUCCGUAGCUGGUCUGAGAGGAUGAUCAGCCACACUGGAACUGAGACACGGUCCAGACUCCUACGGGAGGCAGCAGUGGGGAAUAUUGGACAAUGGGCGCAAGCCUGAUCCAGCCAUACCGCGUGGGUGAAGAAGGCCUUCGGGUUGUAAAGCCCUUUUGUUGGGAAAGAAAAGCGGCAGGUUAAUACCCCGCUGUUCUGACGGUACCCAAAGAAUAAGCACCGGCGAACUUCGU